rnacentral:rRNA from 1 species
UACGUAGGGGGCAAGCGUUAUCCGGAAUUAUUGGGCGUAAAGAGCUCGUAGGCGGUUUGUCGCGUCUGCUGUGAAAACUCGGGGCUUAACCCCGGGCCUGCAGUGGGUACGGGCAGACUAGAGUGCGGUAGGGGAGACUGGAAUUCCUGGUGUAGCGGUGAAAUGCGCAGAUAUCAGGAGGAACACCGGUGGCGAAGGCGGGUCUCUGGGCCGAUACUGACGCUGAGGAGCGAAAGCGUGGGGAGCGAACAGG